rnacentral:misc_RNA from 1 species
CGGCGUCGACAUGCGGAUCCGCGUGCGCGGUGGCGGGAAGACGUCCCAGAUCUACGCGAUUCGGCAGAGCAUCGCGAAGGCGCUGGUGGCGUACUACCAGAAGUACGUGGAUGAGCAGGCGAAGAAAGAGAUCAAGGACUUGCUUGCCAGGUAUGAUCGUACUCUCCUUGUUGCUGAUCCCCGCCGCUGCGAGCCGAAGAAGUUUGGAGG